CCUCUUCCCGGACCGUCGCUGCCUCUGUGGAUGUGGUCUGCAGGGAUUCCCUGGCGGCAAGAGCGUGAGGCUUUCUUUAUCCCGAGUUCCCCAGGAGGAAAUGCCUUCCGUAGUCCCGCUUCAGGUUCUCUAGGCUCAGCAUAAUUUCCAUUUAAACAGAAUCAGGGCCACCGAAGUUUUUGCGUAGGGAGUGUUGGAGAAGGUUGUGGAGAGGAUGUGACCACGGCUAAUCCCCAGGCAGAGAAGCUCCCUUCCCCUUUCCCUUGUCCUUGAAAUGUAUCUUCUGACCCUGUUCCUGUACCGGCAGCCACUUGAAGGACACUGCCUUGACAGCGUAAUGUGAUACUGCAAGCAUCAGGACCGUUUUGUAGCUGAAAUUCCCCAAAGGCCUCUGCAUAAACUCAAGAUUCUAGCAGGUGUUCAAGAAAUUCCCAAUCCAAUCAUGGUGAACUGAGAGUAAACAGGGGAAAGAAGAAUUGGAAUCUGAUUGUAACCAAGAAAGUCCACCUGUGGUCCUGCUCCAAGCAAGUCUUACAACCAAAGAUAUUUAUUAUAAAAUGAAACUAAAUCUGUCUUUGGUAAAAGCACUUAAUAUUGCUGUUUAAAAACUAUCCUAACCUAGAUUUAAUGCACUACUUAUCAAGCGUUUGUGUCAACAUUGUAUUAAAUAGAAAAGAAAUGCUAUCUAUGGGCGCCUGGGUGGCUCAGUGGGUUGGGCUGCUGCCUUCA